CCUACGGGAGGCAGCAGUGGGAAAUUUUGCACAAUGGGGGAAACCCUGAUGCAGCGACGCCGCGUGAGUGACGAAGUAUUUCGGUACGUAAAGUUCUAUCAGCAGGGAAGAAAAUGACGGUACCUGACUAAGAAGCCACGGCUAACUAUGUGCUAGCCACCGCGGUAAUACGUGGGGGGCACGCGUUAUCCGGAUCUACGGGGUUUAAAGGGUGCGCAGGCGGAUUUUUAAGUCAGCGGUAAAGACGUGGGGUUCAACCCCAUCCAGCCGGUGAAACUGGGCAUCUAGAGUGUGCGAGAGGUAUGCGGAAUGCGUGGUGUAGCGGUGAAAUGCAUAGAUAUCACGCAGAACCCCGAUAGCGAAGGCAGCAUACCGGUGGACAACUGACGCUCAGGCACGAAAGCGUGGGUAUCGAACAGGAUUAGAUACCCGUGUAGUC
rnacentral:rRNA from 1 species